GACGAACGCUGGCGGCGUGCCUAACACAUGCAAGUCGAACGGAAAGGCCCUGCUUUUGUGGGGUGCUCGAGUGGCGAACGGGUGAGUAACCCGUGAGUAACCUGCCCUUGACUUUGGGAUGUCUUCAGGCAACUGGGGCUAAUACCGGCUAGGAGCUCCUGCUGCAUGGUGGGGGUUGGAAAGUUUCGGCGGUUGGGAAUGGACUCGCGGCUUAUCAGCUUGUUGGUGGGGUAGUGGCUUACCAAGGCUUUGACGGGUAGCCGGCCUGGGAGGGUGACCGGCCACAUUGGGACUGAGAUACGGCCCAGACUCCAACGGGAGGCAGCAGUGGGGAAUAUUGCACAAUGGGCGGGAGCCUGAUGCAGCAACGCCGCGUGCGGGAAGACGGCCAUGGGGUUGUAAACCGCUUUCGCCUGUGACGAAGCGUGAGUGACGGUAAUGGGUAAAGAAGCACCGGCUAACUACGUG
rnacentral:rRNA from 1 species